rnacentral:rRNA from 1 species
AACGUAGGAGGCAAGCGUUAUCCGGAUUUACUGGGCGUAAAGCGCGUGCAGGCGGCUUGGCAAGUUGGAUGUGAAAGCUCCCGGCUCAACUGGGAGAGGUCGUUCAAGACUGCCAGGCUGGAGGAUGGUAGAGGGUCGCGGAAUUCCCAGUGUAGAGGUGAAAUUCGUAGAUAUUGGGAAGAACACCGGUGGCGAAGGCGGCGACCUGGUCCAUUACUGACGCUGAGGCGCGACAGCGUGGGGAGCAAACAGG